GACACAAAAAUUAGAGUUAGUCCAGAGCAGUGCUAGACAACUAAAUGCCGUCUCUUCGGGCUUUCCGGCUAAGUUCCGACUUCGGCCAUCUGGCUCGCGCGACCCACGCGAAAAAGUUGAAGCGCUUUUAUUCCAUUGCGGAAUCUGGAGGAGCCUUUUUGAAGGGACCGCUUGUCUACAGUCUUGGAACCCUGCUAACCGGAGGCGAACUUUCAAUCGCCAUCUCAAAAACAGUUUUGUGACCGUGCUGUCCUCUUUAUUGGAAUAAUUUUGUUGAAGGAUGUGGUCCCAAGAUCCAGUUAUUCCUAACAAGGCAGUGUACACCUUCAGCUGUAUCACGCUUACUGUGCUGGCUGCUGCUUUGGUCCUGCUUGGAUAUGCAGCGUAUGUGAAAUUCACUUAACCGGGUGCAGAAGCGCUUCACGAUCUCCAUCUCAGCGAAAAUAAAGCGGUUCAAAUGUG